GAGGAACAGCCUGAAAUGGCCCCGAGGGUAAAUCAACAAUUAAACGAAAAUGUCCGUAUGUAUCCAUUAACCCCUCUCUCUCAGUGCAGUGUUAAUGUGCUGUAGUGUCCAGUCAGUGUGUCCGUAUUCACCCUUCUCUCUCAGUGCAGUCUUUAUGUCCUGUAGUGUCCAGUCAUUGUGUCUGUAUUAACCCGCCUCUCUCUGUGCAGUUUUAAAGUAAUGUAAUGUGCAGUCAGUUUGUCUGUAUUAAUCCUUCUCUCUGAUUGCAGUGUUAAUGUGCUGUAUUGUCCAGUCGCAGUGCCUGUAUUAAGCCCUCUCUCAAUACAGUGGUAAUGUACUGUAUUGUGCAGUCAGUGUCUGUAUUAAUCCCUCUCUCUCAGUGCAGUGUUAAUGUACUGGAGUGUCCAGUCAGUGUCUGUAUUAACCCCUCUCUCAGUGCAGUGUUAAUGUACUGGAGUGUCCAGUCAGUCAGUGUGUUUGCAUUAACCCCUCUCUUUCUCAAUGCAGUGUUAAUGUACUAUAGUGUCCAGUCAGCAUGUCUGUAUUAACCUCUCUUUCGGUGCAGUGUUAAUGUCCUGUAGUGUGCAGUUAGUGUGUCUGUAUUAACCCCUUUCUCUCAAUGCAGUGUUAAUGUACUGUAGUGUCCAGAAAGUGUCUGUAUUAACCCCUCUCUCAGUGCAGUGUUAAUGUAAAUGUAAUGUAAUUGUGAUAUUAUUACAGUAGACUUACUUUUUACAUGGUAGUUAUGUUUCUGACAGAGCUAAAUCAGAACACGCCCCUAUACCCACUUAUUCCACUAUGUUAAAACAACCCAAAUUGAUUGUGAGUGUACUAGUAUACGUGUGUGUAGUUUAAGGCUUUUAAGAUCAAAUGGCCUCAGCUAUCACUACUAUGCUGAUGAUUCUCAAAUAUACAUCCAUACCAAACCUGACGAUGAUGUGGCUGUCUCUAUUCUAUUUAUUUGCAUCCCCGAUAUAAAAACUUGGGUGACUCAGAAUUUCCUUCCUUUAACUGUGACAAGACUGAAGUCAUGCUUACUGGCACCACCCAUCAACUUUGUACAACCAAUGUGUAACCCUAUCUGUAGAUGGUCUUGUACUUGAGCUUCAGUCUAAAUUGAAAAACUUGGGGAUGAUAUUUGACGUUCGACCCACAUGUGUAGCAUGUUGUCAGAACAUCUUUAAUUCACCUCAUAAAUAUUGCUCGACUACGCCCUGUGUUAUCACUAACUUUGACUGAAAAUUUUUGUCUUCUCCCAAAUCGACUACUGUAACGCUCUACACUCUGGGGUUUCUUAAUCCACAUUGAACAAACUGCAGUAUGUCUAAAAUUCAGCAGCCAGAAUCCUGACCAGGUCUAGUACAAAUGAUCACAUUACUCCUAUCCUGGAGUCCUUGCACUGGCUUCCUGUCAAGUUUCAUAUCGGCUUAAAAAUCCUCCUGCUCACCUAUAAGACUCUCCAUGUCUUGGCUUGGCACCUCCAUGCUGGUCUGAUAUUAUCACCCUACUCCCUACCUUGCAAUCUUCUCUCUUCUUAUUCUGUUCUCCUAUCUGUCCCCCAAGGCCAUCUACAUUGUAUGGGUGACAGGGCCUUCUAAUUUUAUGCCCCAAGCUCUG
rnacentral:lncRNA from 1 species